rnacentral:rRNA from 1 species
UACGUAGGGGGCAAGCGUUGUCCGGAUUUAUUGGGCGUAAAGAGCUCGUAGGCGGUGUGUCACGUCGGCCGUGAAAACCUGCAGCUUAACUGUGGGCGUGCGGUCGAUACGGGCAGGCUAGAGUUCGGUAGGGGAGACUGGAAUUCCUGGUGUAGCGGUGAAAUGCGCAGAUAUCAGGAGGAACACCGGUGGCGAAGGCGGGUCUCUGGGCCGAUACUGACGUGAGGAGCGAAAGCGUGGGGGAGCGAACAGG